rnacentral:misc_RNA from 1 species
GGUGUUUUAGUUCCAUCCCUUUUCAUGUGUUUUGCAUGCAACAUGUUUUCUCUAUUUUUGCCUGUGUUAUUACUUUGGUUAUAUUCUGUGCUAAUAUAGUAGAAUGGAUGUUGGAGUUGCAAAUGGAAUUGGAAAAUGUAAUAUACUAUGUAGUUGUUGGUUAACUUUGCCUUGUUGUCAUUCUUUUAAUAAAUUCAUAUGCAUAUUCAACUUACUAUGCUGAUACAUAAUCAUAAUGUGUUGAAUACUAUGUCUUCUAUUGUACUUUUGUUCUCUAACCAUGGAACAUGGCUACUGGUACCUUGUUUGUUUUAUGUACUGGAUGUGCUAUUACUGUGGUUGACUUUGUGUUUCUUGUUAUUUUGGGUGUUGCACACAAAUGGUGCUCUUAAAGGGUCCCAGGGUUGGGGAUGAGAAAGUAGCAUGUGGAUUAUGCCAGAUAUUGCCUCAUAAAUUUGCUUCUAUUUAUCUCGUUGAGUUUUCUUCCUGUUGAAGCUUUUCUGUUACUGUGAACUGAGUCAACUGAUUAAUUUAUUAAUUCAGCUUUUGGUAGCUCUGAAGGUGCGU